rnacentral:rRNA from 1 species
GACGAACGCUGGCGGCGUGCCUAAUACAUGCAAGUUGAGCGAUGAAGAUUGGUGCUUGCACCAAUUUGAAGAGCAGCGAACGGGUGAGUAACGCGUGGGGAAUCUGCCUUUGAGCGGGGGACAACAUUUGGAAACGAAUGCUAAUACCGCAUAACAACUUUAAACAUAAGUUUUAAGUUUGAAAGAUGCAAUUGCAUCACUCAAAGAUGAUCCCGCGUUGUAUUAGCUAGUUGGUGAGGUAAAGGCUCACCAAGGCGAUGAUACAUAGCCGACCUGAGAGGGUGAUCGGCCACAUUGGGACUGAGACACGGCCCAAACUCCUACGGGAGGCAGCAGUAGGGAAUCUUCGGCAAUGGACGAAAGUCUGACCAAGCAACGCCGCGUGAGUGAAGAAGGUUUUCGGAUCGUAAAACUCGGUUGGUAGAGAAGAACGUUGGUGAGAGUGGAAAGCUCAUCAAGUGACGGUAACUACCCAGAAAGGGACGGCUAACUACGUG